rnacentral:lncRNA from 1 species
GACGGCAUGGGAGGGCCGGCGGUGGGAUCGGUCGGGUUCGACGACUACGACGGCACCUUCGUGUCGGAAGGGCUAGCGGCGCACCGUGGCCGCCACAGGGACUUCCGGGGGACUUCAGGGACUAACACCACCAAGUUUUGAUUUUCUGCAAAUUAUUAUUAUUAUUAUUAUUCCAUUUGGUCCUGCUCAAUUGUAAACUUUGUUAAACAGCUUGUUGCUUUGGAAUUAUUGUGAUUUUAUUGCCCAGUUUUAUUUUUUCGUUUAUUUUCUGCAAAAUGCCUUAUCUUGUUUAUAAACAUGUAUUUAUGAACUGAAGAAGAAAAUCAAUCAAUCAUAUAAAGAUCACCUGGCAAAUUAAUGCAAUUAAAAAAAAGAAUAGAAAAUCUAGAUAGUAUUUUGUUCACAAAAUUUUUGUUCCUCUAAUGAUAAAAUUUGGUUUGUGCUUAACGAAUUCAAAGAAAUUGGAGAGAGGCAAAAAGGGUCCAAGCGAGUCAGCAGUAAUUCUAAUCGAUGUAGAUUCGAUAGCAAAUUAGUUUUCGUAGGAAUAAGAUAUUUCAAUAAAAUUCCCACAAUACAAUGCCUUAAGCAAUUAGUAAUUUAGAGACAACUAGUGAGAGAAUCCGUGAAUGUUUUCAAGAGGAAUUACUGAGUGCUAAAUGAUGAUAAAUAUGAAUACCUUUCGUGUUUUAGCCCUUCAUUUUGUUGCCUCUAAUUAUGCCAGUUAUCAGAACGUAAUUUAUACAAGUUUUAAAAAAAAUAUUUACACAGUAAAGAACACAAGUCAACGGCAAUAAGGGUUGACCUCUGGCUUGCUUAAUGCUAUUUGCCACAGUGUGCUAAGCGCUACCGACGUGGCAGAUUACGACAUUACUCUGCUCCCAAAACCGUUGAUCUAUUCCCAUUUAUUCCAGAGGUUGCUUGUAAUAAAACAAAUUCCAACGUAGAUUAACAAAGAAGAGGAAGCAACACGCGUAGGGAAAGAAUCAGCUCACAUGUUACUACUGUUCACACGCUGAGCCCCAAAAUCCUUCUCCCAUCAUCGUCGUCGUUCUCGACAAAUGGCGGAGGAGGCUCCCUCGGAGUUCCUGUGCCCCAUCUCGGGCGCUCUCAUGGCGGACCCCGUCAUCGUCC